GACGAACGCUGGCGGCGUGCUUAACACAUGCAAGUCGAACGGAAAGGCCCUGCUCUUGUGGGGUGCUCGAGUGGCGAACGGGUGAGUAACACGUGAGUAACCUGCCCUUGACUUUGGGAUAACUUCAGGAAACUGGGGCUAAUAUCGGAUAUGAGCUCCUGCUGCAUGGUGGGGGUUGGAAAGUUUCGGCGGUUGGGGAUGGACUCGCGGCUUAUCAGCUUGUUGGUGGGGUAGUGGCUUACCAAGGCUUUGACGGGUAGCCGGCCUGAGAGGGUGACCGGCCACAUUGGGACUGGGAUACGGCCCAGACUCCUACGGGAGGCAGCAGUGGGAAAUAUUGCACAAUGGGCGGAAGCCUGAUGCAGCAACGCCGCGUGCGAGAUGACGGCCUUCGGGUUGUAAACCGCUUUCGCCUGUGACGAAGCGUGAGUGACGGUAAUGGGUAAAGAAGCACCGGCUAACUACGUG
rnacentral:rRNA from 1 species